GGUAAAGACGAAAGUGAAAGCAGAAAGGACAGAAGUGGAGCCAAGCAGAGGACUUUUCAGCUCCUCACUGGCCCCACUUGUCUGACCCACCCGUCUGCCCGCGACGCCUAAUCCGCUCUGCCUGCCCCAAGAUGCUGGAGCCAGCCCUGGAGACCCAAGGGGGCUUCUCCUUCGAGAACUGCCAAAGAAAUGCGUCCUUGGAACGCGUCCUCCCGGGACUCAAGGUCCCUCACGCACGCAAGACCGGGACCACCAUCGCGGGCCUUGUGUUCCAAGACGGGGUCAUUCUGGGCGCCGACACGCGAGCCACUAAUGAUUCUGUUGUGGCGGACAAGAGCUGCGAAAAGAUCCAUUUCAUCGCCCCCAAAAUCUACUGCUGUGGGGCUGGAGUAGCCGCGGACGCCGAGAUGAUUACACGGAUGGUGGCGUCCAAGAUGGAGCUACACGCGUUAUCCACGGGCCGUGAGCCCCGCGUGCCCACGGUCACCCGCAUCCUGCGCCAGACGCUCUUCCGGUACCAGGGCCACGUGGGUGCAUCGCUGAUCGUGGGCGGCGUAGACCUGACUGGACCGCAGCUCUACGGUGUACAUCCCCAUGGCUCCUACAGCCGUAUGCUCUUCACGGCUCUGGGCUCUGGCCAGGACGCGGCCCUGGCGGUGCUAGAAGACCGGUUCCAGCCGAACAUGACGGCCUCACACACCCAUCACCGCAGCUGGAGGCUGCUCAGGGGCUGCUGGUGGAAGCCAUCACUGCAGGAAUCUUGGGUGACCUGGGCUCCGGGGGUAAUGUGGACGCAUGUGUGAUUACGAAGUCAGGCGCCAAGCUACUGAGGACACUGAGCUCGCCCACAGAGCCCGUGAAGAGGUCUGGUCACUACCACUUUGUGCCUGGAACCACAGCUGUCCUGACCCAGACAGUGAAGCCACUAACUCUGGAGCUAGUGGAGGAAACCGUGCAGGCUAUGGAGGUGGAGUAAAAUAGGCUUGAGGCUUAGAGCUUGGAACAAGGGGAAAUAAACCCAGAAAAUACAAACAGCUAAACA